rnacentral:lncRNA from 1 species
GCCAAGCCCUGUGGGCACCCCCAACCCCCAAGGCUGGCCCCAGCGGCCAGUGAAUCAGGGCCCCUGCCCGCUCUGUUUACAUUGGAGCUGGGGAAAUUCUCCAAGGUUCAUAUUCAUCCGUGUGCUUAGCGAAGGCACUGGACUUUGGACUUCAGCCCCGCAGAGUGCAGGCCUCAUGGCAGCGCGCAGGGCCGGGAGCCGCGGCCUGCAGUGGGAGUGGGCAGAGUGGAGGGUGGGGGAGGCGGCGGUGGGGGCCCGGGCAGCUGGGAUGGAAGGUGCUGGGAGCCCGGGCGGCCUUCGGGUGAGCAGCUCCAGAUCUCACCCCCGGGACCUUGUAGGGGCGUCAGGCCGAGGCAGGAGAGCAGAAACAGCAUGUUUACCCGGGGAACAGGAGCAGCAAGGCAUUCUAGGCAGGUGGGCCAGCUCUCAUCAAGGGCAAGGCUAGGUCACAUCCAUCUUGUGACCCACCCUCAGGCCCCGAACCAGGCCUCCCCAUCAGAAGAACUGUUGACUGGCACAAGUCUACUGAGUGCCAGGGAUGUGCUCGUCUGUAACGUGCGUCAUGAGCUCAUUGUGUCCCCUAACAGCUGUGAGUAGGUACAGGGACUAUCCCCAUUUCACAGAGGAGGAAACUGAGGCCCUGAGAGGGUAAGCAACUUGCCCAAAAUCACACAGCUAGCAAGGGGCAAGAGGCAGGAUGGGAACAGGGUGAGGCCAGGUCAGGCACUCGACUCAGGGGUGAAUUUUAAGGGGGUGCCAAAAAACUCAGUAAUCGAGAAAAAUACUUUGAUACACUAUAUUAAAAAAUCUAAAUGAAUGCAAAACCCAAAAGAAUUAAAAACAUACGCUCCCACAGAAAUUUGCACAUGAAUGUUCAUAGCAGCAUUAUUCACAAUAGCCAAAAAGUAGAAAAAACAUAAAUAUCAACAGAUGAAUGGAUAAUUAAAAUGUGGGCUAUCCAUGCAAUGGUGCCUUAUUCGGCCAUAAAAAGGAAGGCAGUACUGAUCCGUGCUACAACGUGGAUGAACCUCGAAGAUGUUAUGCUGAGGGAAAUAAGCCAGACACAAAAGGCCACAUAUUGUGAGUCCAUUUACAUGAAAUGUCCAGAAUGGGCAAGUCCGUAGAGACAGAAAGUAGAUGAGUGGUUGUCAGGGGGUGGGGGGCAGGGGGAACGGGGAGUGGCUGCUUAACAGGUAUGGGGUGACUUUGGGGAUAAUGAAAAUGUUCCAGAAUUGAUUAGGUGAUGUUACCCAACUCUGUGACUCUACUAAAAAAGACUGAAUUGUGCACUUUUAAAGGGUGAAUUUUAUGAUAUAUCAAUCAAUAAAAAAUAUUUUUUUAAUUAAUGCAAAAAUUCUGUGAUGAACAAAAUAUCAACAUUUUAAAUAAAGACAGGCUCCGGCCCUCACUACCCUCCCCCUAAUCCCAGCCUAAUCCCUGGGUGAGUGCUGGUCCCUCACACCCCCACCCACCCCUUCCCUCCUCCAGAGCCUUGAUAAAAUUUCUGCACGUGUCCCCUCCGGUGGCCCUAAGCCCCCAGAACAGAGGCCGCACACCACUUCCUGGAGUAGGCAGGGUCAUGCUGAGGGGCCGCCCCCCAGGCUGGGGCAUGUCCAAAAGUUCCGUAUCUGUCAGGAGUCUGUAGAACCAGGGUCACAGCUGGCGACAGAGGAAGGGUGAAGGAGCUAUUGGCCAGAAAACUCUCGCACAGCCAGGCGAGCAGCUGUUUGCAAGGCCAAAGUUCAGGCAAGGCGUAAGGCUUCUUGGCCUUGGGAGGCAGCGCAAAGCACCGUGAGCCGGACUGAGACUCUUGGAAUUCGAUUACCACCACCCCCACCCCACCUCGGGCCCACCUGUGUUCAGACUCGGACUGUGCUUCCUCCCAGUCCCAUUGCCCUUUAAACCUGUAGUAAACAGUCGCUGGCAUAUGCAAUUUUCAUCCGUCUCAUUUAACAGCUCAGCAGCCUCAGGAGGUAGGUAAUUCUAUCCCAUUUUCUUCUGUUUUGUUUUCUUUCUUUCUUUCUUUCUUUUUUUUUUUUUUUUUUUGAGGAAGACUGGCCGUGAGCUAACAUCCGUGCCCAUCUUCCUCUACUUUCUAUGUGGGACGCCUACCACAGCAUGGCGUGCCGAGCAGUGCCAUGUCCGCACCCGGGAUCCGACCCUGCGAACCCCGGACUGCCGAAGCAGAAUGUGCGCACUUAACCGCUGCGGCACCGGACAGGCCCCUCUAUCCCAUUUUACAGAUGAGAAAACUGAGGCUCUAAGAAGAUGUGGAUCCUGCCCAGUUAAUGUGUGGCAGAGCUAGGAUGGGAACCCAGACCUCUCUGAUGCCAGAAUCCAAGCCCUUGACUGCUAGUCCAUGUACCUCUUUCUUUGAGGCAGUUCAUUCUCACUAAAUACUUGUUACUAUUACUUUUUCUUGUUGUUGUCCUGGGUAAGUAUAACUCUGCCCAUUGGCCUUGUCACCUCUGUGCUGGUUUUGCAGAUAAAGAAACUAAGGCGCCAAGGGAAGAAAACACAAUGGUUAAGAGCACAGGCUCAAGCCAGAGUGCCUGGAUUUGAGCUUGGCCCUGCCACUUGCCAGCUGUGUGACCUUGGGCAAGUUGCUUAACCUCUCUGUGCCUCAGUAUCCUCUUCUCUAAAAUGGGGAUGAAAAUACUGUCUGCCUCAUGGGUUGUUAGGAGGAUUAAUGAGGUAAUACACAUAAAGACUGUGCCUGGCACAUUGUAAGCGCUCCCUACUGUUGAAUGAUUAUUGUUACGUGAUUUUUAACAAGACUGUCCCACUCCUCUUGGCCAGGCUGAGUUCCCUUCUUUUGCAAAAGUGCUGCCACCAUUCCAUUUGACUCUUAAGCCCUGAUUCUGGCGUUCAAGGUCAUCAAUACCUCAACUCCGCUCUCUAACCAGGAGCAUACCUGGAAUCUCUCUCAUCUAGGCUUUUGCACAAGCAGUUUCCUCCACUGGAGACCUCCGCCUGUUAACCUGCCCUCAGAUCCUCCUGGAUCUUUUUCUGACCCCUUCUCUUACCCACAGCAGCAUGAGUCUUCACUAGCCAGCCUUCCCUAACUCACUAGAGCAGGGCCAGCAGUACCAGAAAGCCCUGGACUGAGGGUUAGAAAUACAGAUUCCUGGCUCCAUGCUCAAGGAUUUGAUUUAAUAGGUCUGGAGUGAGGCCAAAGGGUGCAAGCUCCUUGCAUCCAAGAGCAGAGGACU